UUUUUCUUUUAUCUCCCAUUGCUUUGCUUUUCAAGAGCACAUCAGACUCGUCUUCCUCAAAUUUGUAUUGAUUUUAAAAUGAAGACUCCUUAGCCCUUUACACUACUGUGUGAGUUUUACAGAGAAUCCAAAAGGAUGUUUUGGUGUCAUCAAAGACAAAAUAACAAUAUAGAACCCCGUGUUAGUAAGAGAUCAUCACCUUGAGGAAGAGGAAUGAGCAAUGAUCAGUUUUAGAGUUUUCCCAAGAGUGGGAACAUUGGAAAUUGUCUAGAAACUUCUCAGAUGUUACAGUUUCUCACCUUUGGUAGCUUUAAAAAGUGUUACCUAGGCUAGCCAUAUGUAGAAAGCUGAAACUGGAUCCCUUCUUUGCACCUUAUACAAAAAUUAAUUCAAGAUGGAUUAAAGACUUAAAC
rnacentral:lncRNA from 10 species